UCCGUAGGCGGUGUGGCAAGUCGGAAGUGAAAUCUCUGGGCUUAACUCAGAGGCUGCUUCCGAAACUGCCGUGCUAGAGUGCGAGAGAGGCAAGUGGAAUUGCGGGUGUAGCGGUGAAAUGCGUAGAUAUCCGCAGGAACAUCCGAGGCGAAAGCGGCUUGCUGGAUCGCAACUGACGCUGAGGGACGAAAGCUAGGGGAGCAAACAGGACUUAGAUACCCUGGUAGUCCUAGCCCUAAACCAUCAGGACUUGGGGUUUGCCCUGUACGGGGCAAGUCCCGUAGCUAACGCGUUAAGUCCUGCGCCUGGGGAGUACGGUCGCAAGGCUGAA
rnacentral:rRNA from 1 species